rnacentral:rRNA from 1 species
AACGAACGCUGGCGGCAUGCCUAACACAUGCAAGUCGAACGAGACCUUCGGGUCUAGUGGCGCACGGGUGCGUAACGCGUGGGAACCUGCCCUUAGGUUCGUAAUAACUCCCCGAAAGGGGUGCUAAUACCGGAUAAUGUCUUCGGACCAAAGAUUUAUCGCCUUUGGAUGGGCCCGCGUUGGUUUAGCUGGUUGGUAGGGUAAAAGCAUACCAAGGCGACGAUCCAUGGCUGGUCUGAGAGGAUGAUCAGCCACAAUGGGAAUGAGACACGGCCCAGACUCCUACGGGAGGCAGCAGUGGGGAAUAUUGGACAAUGGGCGAAAGCCUGAUCCAGCAAUGCCGCGUGAGUGAGGAAGGCCUUAGGGUUGUAAAGCUAUUUUACCAGGGAUGAUAAUGACAGUACCGGGAGAAUAAGCUCCGGCUAACUCCGUG